GUCGAGGAUCAUUUGCAAUGGGCGAAAGCCUGACAGUGCGACGCUGCGUGGAGGAUGAAGGCCUUCGGGUUGUAAACUCCUGUCAUUCGGGAACAAGGGCGGGAGGGUGAAUAAUCCUUCCGAUUGAUGGUACCGAAAGAGGAAGCCACGGCUAACUCUGUGCCAGCAGCCGCGGUAAUACAGAGGUGGCGAGCGUUGUUCGGAUUUACUGGGCGUAAAGGGUGCGUAGGUGGUUCCGUGUGUCGGAUGUGAAAUCCCACUGCUCAACGGUGGAACGGCAUUCGAAACUGCGGGGCUAGAGUGCAGGAAGGGAGAGCGGAAUUCUUGGUGUAGCGGUGAAAUGCGUUGAUAUCAAGAGGAACACCGGUGGCGAAGGCGGCUCUCUGGAAUGCAACUGACACUGAGGCACGAAAGCCGGGGGAGCAAACAGGAUUAGAUACCCCGGUAGUCC
rnacentral:rRNA from 1 species